rnacentral:rRNA from 1 species
GACGAACGCUGGCGGCGUGCUUAACACAUGCAAGUCGAACGGAAAGGCCCUGCUUUUGUGGGGUGCUCGAGUGGCGAACGGGUGAGUAACACGUGAGUAACCUGCCCUUGACUUUGGGAUAACUUCAGGAAACUGGGGCUAAUACCGGAUAGGAGCUCCUGCUGCAUGGUGGGGGUUGGAAAGUUUCGGCGGUUGGGGAUGGACUCGCGGCUUAUCAGCUUGUUGGUGGGGUAGUGGCUUACCAAGGCUUUGACGGGUAGCCGGCCUGAGAGGGUGACCGGCCACAUUGGGACUGAGAUACGGCCCAGACUCCUACGGGAGGCAGCAGUGGGGAAUAUUGCACAAUGGGCGGAAGCCUGAUGCAGCAACGCCGCGUGCGGGAUGACGGCCUUCGGGUUGUAAACCGCUUUCGCCUGUGACGAAGCGUGAGUGACGGUAAUGGGGAAAGAAGCACCGGCUAGCUACGU